rnacentral:lncRNA from 1 species
GAGCUUAUAUCCAACGCCUCACGUUUUUCCUAUUUUUUAUUUCUGUUUUUUAUUUUCAUUUUAUUUCUUUUAUUCCAUUUCAUUUCAAAAAAUCACAUCUCACUCAUUUUUAUUCCAAAAAAUAUGAGACCAAUUGCAUUAUUUAUCUUUUAAUUUCUAGUUUCUAAAAAUGAUUUUUAAUAUUUUUUAUUUUAUCAUUUGAUAUUUUUUAUGAAUUUUCUCUUUUCU